rnacentral:lncRNA from 10 species
UUCAGGUGUUAAGGGAGAGACCAGGUGGAGGUCAUUGAAUCAUGGAAGCGGUCUCGCCCCUGCUGUUCUCGUGACAGUGAGUUAUCGCGAGAUCUGAUGGUUUCGUAAGUGUUCGGUAGUUCCUCCUGCGUUCAUUUUCCUUCCUCCCAUCUUGUGAAGAAGGUGCUUUGCUUUCUCCUCACCUUGUGUCGUGAUUGUAAGUUUCCUGAAGCCCUUCCUGCCAUGCUGAACGGAAGUAGAGUCUAUGACUCUUCCCCUUGAAUCUCCAUGGGACUUUAUUGCUUCAGAGACAAGGAAUGUCGCAAAAGUGAUGCUGCUUGACUUUUGAGAGUAGCUCUGGAAGACAUGUGAGCUGAGAUGGUUUUAAGAUGGCCCCAACCCAGCCACCAUCUGACUCCAAUAGCAUGAGAGGCUUCUAAGGAGAACUUUCUUGAUAAGUCCAGUCAACCUCACAUUGAAGCCUCUAAAUUUGAACAGAAGAGAGAUUUUUUAAAAAUUCCUUUCAGAUAUAUAAAACCGAGGGACAAAAAUUGGUAUCACCUCAAAAAAUCAGGACUUAUGGAUUCCAGUUUUUCCAUUGACCAUUUGAAUCCACAAUGACUCAUCAGUGUACAUUCAUAUAUCAAGAAUUGCCUACAUAUCACAAAAGUGUAUUUUUUGACAUCAUGUCGGAGAAGAUGUGGUUAAAAUUCCUAUUCAGACCCUGAAUUCACUUAGGAGCUAAGUUAGGAGCACUUAUGUCUUUCGUGCUUUGAUUUUGUUAUUUUUGUUUACAAAUCAUGAUUUGCAUUUGAGAAUAAUUCUGGUUGCACUUUUAAAUGCAAGUAAAUAACUUUUUUCUGUCUCAAAAGACAAUAAUCAGAAAACUAUAGGAUUUUAGGCAAAACAGAUAGAAUAACAACUUAUGGUUGACUAUUUGGAAAUUUGUAUGGGAGGAGGUCAUUUUACCUUUCAGUUUUGUGGAUGGCAGUGGAGUGGCACUUGCUUUGGUGGAGUGGACCAGUCGUUAGUGACCCCAUCUGAAACUACGGGAACAUCUUCAACUUCUGAGGCCAUUGCAUGUAAUGAUCUGUGUCCUUGAGCAUUACUUGUAAUUACAAGAGAAGAGACACCAUCCUCUCAGUACUAAAAAAUAGCACUGCAAUUAACUGUAGACGAAAAUCAAUGCCUCUUCACUCUAGGGAUAUAGAUCAGUAAUUCUCUUCAUAAUUUCCCAAUUCUUAGUACUAUCCCUUUUCCUUUUACAGAAAAACAAAAUCAUAGAAGUAAAAAUGGGAACUCCCCAUUGAGCUGUCUCUUAACUCUUCUUAAUCAUUUGUCCAUUCCAAUCCUCUCCUUGCUUUUACUUAAUACUAAGUGAGGUCUUGGUUCUUCAGCUGAAAGGUUUUUGUUUUGUUUGUUUUCCUUCCAGUUUUGCUUCAUUACUGUUGGCGUGUCCAUGGCUUUGAAAAAUAAAAUGUGCAUAGGGUUUUCUAAUAAAAAUAAACUUUUCUUUAUUCCUAAAGAUGCUAUAGAUUCUUAAUUACUACAAAGCCCGCUCCACAGACUUCAAUGAAAUAGUAUAGGGAGUUGGUGAAUAAGGUUCUUAUCCUGCCCCAAGGCUCUUUUCAUUGAUGAAAAUGAUAAUGUAAACUUUGUUAAGAUUAACCCCUCAAAAUCAUCAUAUUGGAUAUUCUCUUUUACAUAUAAAUUAUUUACAGAAUCCUAAACAUUAUGUAUAAUAAUGCAGAAGGGAUCCAGGAUAUCACCUUUUUGUUUUCAUCCUCACAUAACUCUGUGCAUUUAAACCAUAAAAUAUGCACAAAUAUCUCAGAUGCAUCACAUAUUCCAUUUUUUUUUCUGUCUCCUCCUGGCAUAGAUGUCACCACCAGCUGAGUUUUGGUUGGCAGUCACUUGUUCCAUCUUAUGAGGAAGAGAGGUGUUGGUCAUAAGACAUGCAUGUCUAGGCAUUGUGGUAUCUGGUGUCCACUUUUCUUUUGCAAAAAUUAGCCUGGCCAGUGCUGAUAUCAGUUAAGCUUCAGCAUUGAAAAUUCAAAGCCUAAAUGUCUGCUUGAGGAAAAUACCUGCUCCAGAGAAAUUUCCAUAUUCUUGGUAUGAUUAUUAUGUUUUUUCAUCAGGAAGGAAUAAGGGGUGACUCCUGAUGCUGGCUGUAUUAGUCAGCAUGAGAAAGAGAGAAAGAAAGACAUUUAGGAAUUAGCAGAUAUGAUUGUGGGGGCUGGCAAGCCUUAAAUCUAUAGGGCAGGCUGGCAGGCUGAAAAUUCAGGGAAGAGUUUAUGCUGCCAUCUUGAGUUGGAAUUCCACAGAGUAGCAGAGAGGAAACGCAGGCAGGGCUUCUAUGUUGCAGUCUUGUGAAAGAGUCCUUGUACAUCCAAGAACCUCAGUCUUUUCUCUUAAAGUCCUUAAACUGAUUGAACUACUAGGAAGAAUCAUUUGCUUUACUCAAAGUCCACUGAUUUAAAUGUUAAUCACAUCUAAAAAAAUGCCUUCACUGAGAAAUCUAGACUGGGGUUUGACCAAAUACUGACACCAUAACCUAGCUAAGUUGACACAAAAAAUUAACCAUCACACUGGACUUUAUAUAGGGCUGUGUUUAAACCACCCUAGAGAUAUCUGUUCAGUCUUUAAAGUCUUUGCUGAGAAAGUGUGCCAUAGACUUUCUUGAAUUUCAAAUUGAAUGAAAAUUCCUUUUUAAAUAUUUGUCUUAAAGUCUGUUUGUUUGUUUGUUUGUUUAAAGGCAGAGUCUCACUCUGUUGUCCAGGCUGGAGUGCUGUGGCUCAAUCUCGGCUCA